GCCGAAAUAGCUCAGUUUGGAGAUCGUUAGACUGAAGAUCUAAAGGUCCCUGGUUCGAUUCAGGGUUACGGCA
rfam:Daphnia pulex DAPPTscaffold_9489_Cont17714, whole genome shotgun sequence.